GACGUAGGGCGCGAGCGUUGUCCGGAUUUAUUGGGCGUAAAGAGCUCGUAGGCGGCUCGUUGCGUCGGCUGUGAAAACCCGCAGCUCAACUGUGGGCUUGCAGCUGAUACGGGCGGGCUGGAGUUCGGUAGGGGAGACUGGAAUUCCUGGUGUAGCGGUGAAAUGCGCAGAUAUCAGGAGGAACACCGGUGGCGAAGGCGGGUCUCUGGGCCGAUACUGACGCUGAGGAGCGAAAGCGUAGGGAGCGAACAGG
rnacentral:rRNA from 1 species